CAAUUCUGCUGAGGGGUUUGGUGCCUCGUUGCGUAAAAUGGGGGGAGGGAACCUUGUGUGUCGGCUCCGCUCGCCCCAGUGCCGGACCACGGAGCUCGCAGCAGAGCGCGCACACGCAGAGCUGUUCAAUGUGCUGCGGCACCGUCUCCCUCUUCUCCCUGCCAGGCCCCGCACAGCAAUCCCGGGCCCACCCCGCCUCCCUCCGCUUUAUGCUGAGCCCCACUGUCUCCUCAUCGCCAUCCCCAGCAGCCCAGCCUGCUGCGUUAGGGGAGCAUCCAUUCCGUGGCAGGUGGGCAUAGCGGUGCUGACCCGCGCGCCCUGUGCUGAGGACGGAAACACUACGCCCUCCUUGCCAGCGCCAGCCCAACACUGGCUGCUGUAGUCACAUAAACAGUGGAAAGGAUAAAUUGUCUCUAUGCCCCCCCCCAUGCGAGAACAGAGGCAGAGUGGUGUAAAGGUGGCGUUAAGGUACCUUAUGCCCCCCUCCAUCUAGGACCAGCAAUGGACCAGGCUGGUUUCUGGUGUAAGUUAGAGCAGCCUCAGGACUACUCCAAUUCACACUGUGAGAGGGUAGGAUCAUAGAGUUACAAGGAAAUCCUCAUUUGAUUAGAAUCCAACUUCUUGAACUACAGCUGCAAACUAAGGAAACACAGUAACGAGCUAACGAAAAAAUUGAACAAAAUACUGAAGCUAUUGUAUGAUUAAACAGUGCAGCUCUAAUGUCUUGGAAUUAUCAAGGAGACUGAAGUAGCAAAUCAAAAUAAUACCCUGGAAGUAGGUUAGCAUAUCAUGUUUGGUGGAAGCUUGCUAGCAACUUCACUAGGCAACAGCUGUUUUCAAGGGCAUGUGACAAGAAGAAACCUGCUUUAGUAAACAUGAUCUGAGCAACUUGUUACUCGGAUGGAUCCAAUACCAAUGUCUUUUUCUUGCUAUGUUGGUGCAUAAAUUUCUGAUGUUCUUUCUUGGUGGGUACACACAUUAAACCUGCCACACUGGUAGGUUAAUAGAUAAAUGACACAAAGCAUUUGGUUCUGUUGGAUAUUUUCAGAUGCAAACAUUUUUGAGCAGCUCUGACUUUUUCACAAUACAUCUUCCUAUUCUUAUUUUCUUAAUGGCAAGAGAGAGGAAGGGAAAGCAAAACACAAUGGAGGCCAGUUUCAUUCCUUGUGCAAGUCCAUUGACAGCAGAAGGAUUGUGUAAUAUGCAUGUUAUCUUGUGUAACGUUGCAGUGGGAAAGAAGCAAUGGAAAGUUGUAUAUUAUAUAAAAUACCACUCAUACAAGUUUGCUGGAGUACAUACUUGCAUGGCAGGUGUAAAGGAGCAUCCAAGGUGCAAGGCCAUAAGGACAUUCAGGCCCUAGAAGUUGUAGAGUACUUGUUGCAAUUUAAAAUACAUCUGAGUUCUAGCACUGUUUACAUUUAUAGCAAUAUCAAUUGCCUUUCAUUUGAUAUAAGCAAUGUAGAGAUUUAUUUAUUUAGUUAUUCAGUAUAAGUGGCAUCACACCUUUAUAUACUAUAUGGCAAUGUCCUUGUAGUGAUUUUGAUAGAAUUGCACUGUUUCACAAGAUUGCACAGAUCUUUAUAAAAGUAAAGUUUUAUAAUAAUAAAUACAUAAUUUUAUAAUA